rnacentral:rRNA from 1 species
GAUGAACGCUGGCGGCGUGCCUAAUACAUGCAAGUCGAACGAAACUUCUUUAUCACCGAGUGCUUGCACUCACCGAUAAAGAGUUGAGUGGCGAACGGGUGAGUAACACGUGGGCAACCUGCCCAAAAGAGGGGGAUAACACUUGGAAACAGGUGCUAAUACCGCAUAACCAUAGUUACCGCAUGGUAACUAUGUAAAAGGUGGCUAUACUACCGCUUUUGGAUGGGCCCGCGGCGCAUUAGCUAGUUGGUAGGGUAAAGGCUUACCAAGGCAAUGAUGCGUAGCCGAAUUGAGAGGUUGAUCGGCCACAUUGGGACUGAGACACGGCCCAAACUCCUACGGGAGGCAGCAGUAGGGAAUCGGCCACAAUGGGCGAAAGCCUGAUGGAGCAACGCCGCGUGGGUGAAGAAGGUCUUCGGAUCGUAAAACCCUGUUGUUAGAGAAGAAAGUGCGUGAGAGUAACUGUUCACGUUUCGACGGUAUCUAACCAGAAAGCCACGGCUAACUACGUG